ACACUGGAACUGAGACACGGUCCAGACUCCUACGGGAGGCAGCAGUGGGGAAUAUUGCACAAUGGGCGCAAGCCUGAUGCAGCGACGCCGCGUGCGGGAUGACGGCCUUCGGGUUGUAAACCGCUUUUGACUGGGAGCAAGCCCUUCGGGGUGAGUGUACCUUUCGAAUAAGCACCGGCUAACUACGUGCCAGCAGCCGCGGUAAUACGUAGGGUGCAAGCGUUAUCCGGAAUUAUUGGGCGUAAAGGGCUCGUAGGCGGUUCGUCGCGUCCGGUGUGAAAGUCCAUCGCUUAACGGUGGAUCCGCGCCGGGUACGGGCGGGCUUGAGUGCGGUAGGGGAGACUGGAAUUCCCGGUGUAACGGUGGAAUGUGUAGAUAUCGGGAAGAACACCAAUGGCGAAGGCAGGUCUCUGGGCCGUCACUGACGCUGAGGAGCGAAAGCGUGGGGAGCGAACAGGAUUAGAUACCCUGGUAGUCCACGCCGUAAACGAUGAGUGCUAGGUGUUGGGUCCUUUCCGGGACUCAGUGCCGCAGCUAACGCAUUAAGCACUCCGCCUGGGGAGUACGACCGCAAGGUUGAAACUCAAAGGAAUUGACGGGGGCCCGCACAAGCGGUGGAGCAUGUGGUUUAAUUCGAAGCAACGCGAAGAACCUUACCAGGUCUUGACAUCCCGAUGCUAUUCCUAGAGAUAGGAAGUUUCUUCGGAACAUCGGUGACAGGUGGUGCAUGGUUGUCGUCAGCUCGUGUCGUGAGAUGUUGGGUUAAGUCCCGCAACGAGCGCAACCCUCGCCCUGUGUUGCCAGCACGUCGUGGUGGGAACUCACGGGGGACCGCCGGGGUCAACUCGGAGGAAGGUGGGGAUGACGUCAGAUCAUCAUGCCCCUUACGUCCAGGGCUUCACGCAUGCUACAAUGGCCGGUACAACGGGAUGCGACCUCGUGAGGGGGAGCGGAUCCCUUAAAACCGGUCUCAGUUCGGAUUGGAGUCUGCAACCCGACUCCAUGAAGGCGGAGUCGCUAGUAAUCGCGGAUCAGCAACGCCGCGGUGAAUGCGUUCCCGGGCCUUGUACACACCGCCCGUCAAGUCAUGAAAGUGGGUAGCACCCGAAGCCGGUGGCCCAACCUUUUGGGGGGAGCCGUCUAAGGUGAGACUCGUGAUUGGGACUAAGUCGUAACAAGGUAGCCGUACCGGAAGGUGCGGCUG
rnacentral:rRNA from 1 species